CAGCAGCCGCGGGAAUACAGAGGGUGCGAGCGUUAAUUGGAUUUACUGGGCGUAAAGCGUGCGUAGGCGGCUUCUUAAGUCGGAUGUGAAAUCCCUGAGCUUAACUUAGGAAUUGCAUUCGAUACUGGGAAGCUAGAGUAUGGGAGAGGAUGGUAGAAUUCCAGGUGUAGCGGUGAAAUGCGUAGAGAUCUGGAGGAAUACCGAUGGCGAAGGCGACUAUCUGGGCCAACACUGACACUGAGGCACGAAAGCGUGGGGAGCAAACAGGAUUAGAUACCCCAGUAGUCCCUGUCUCUUAUAC
rnacentral:rRNA from 1 species